UCCGGUUUAACACCGGCAGUCUCCUUAGAGUGCUUCGAUCCGAAGACCGAGUGGCAACUAAGGACAGGGGUUGCGCUCGUUACGGGACUUAACCCAACACUUCACAGCACGAGCUGACGACAGCCAUGCAGCACCUGUCUUGGAGCUCCCUUGCGGGCACUCCCCUAUCUCUAGGGGAUUCUCCAGAUGUCAAGCCUAGGUAAGGUUUUUCGCGUUGCGUCGAAUUGAACCACAUGCUCCACCGCUUGUGCGGGCCCCCGUCAAUUCCUUUGAGUUUCAACCUUGCGGCCGUACUUCCCAGGCGGGGUACUUAAUGCGUUGGCUUACGGCACCGAGGGAGUCAAUUCCCCCAACACCUAGUACCCAUCGUUUACAGCGUGGACUAC
rnacentral:misc_RNA from 1 species